UGAGCAUUUACUGAGCGAAACGCUAGCUGC
rnacentral:piRNA from 1 species